GAUCAACAGAAGGAGGAAAGCAGGGCUCAUUAGUUAAAAAGCUGAAAAAAAGACAAGGCAACGGGAGCAACAGGGAAAGCCACUCGUCCUGAGACAAACAUUGUAACUAUGGCACCAAGAGUCAAACCAGAGCUUCCUUUGCCUACAAUUUCAGUCGAGGUUGAGCAGUCUAUACUUGAUCACAGUAGAUUUUGUAACAAGAAAACAGGUUGAUGAUAUUUAACUUUCAUCAUCAAGUUCUGAGGUUUGUGUUUUUCUCCAAUUAAUUAUUCUUUUAGAUUGAACAUGUCUAUACUCGUCACAUGCUCAGAGACAUAUCUUGCCAUGAAAAUAAUCUGGACUUGAGGCUGGAUCUGUGCACCAAAAGAACUGUAACUACUUUUACUAGAGUUUGAACAAGUUCCCUCGAAGGACUAGUACACCAUCUGGGGUUCACAGUCAAGCACAACAAGCUGAAGAACAGCUACAACAUCAGCAACAGCAGCAGCAACAAUAGCAUCAUCCAAACUAUAGUUUGAAGUAAAAAAUGUUCAAGAUUAUAAAAUUUUAUUAUGUUAAGCUUUCAAAUUGAAGUUAGAACU